UAGCUAGUUGGUGAGGUAAAGGCUUACCAAGGCGACGAUCUGUAGCGGGUCUGAGAGGAUGAUCCGCCACACUGGAACUGAGACACGGUCCAGACUCCUACGGGAGGCAGCAGUGGGGAAUUUUGGACAAUGGGGGCAACCCUGAUCCAGCCAUGCCGCGUGAGUGAAGAAGGCCUUCGGGUUGUAAAGCUCUUUCGGCCGGGAAGAAAUCGCAUGGGCCAAUACCCUGUGUGGAUGACGGUACCGGAAUAAGAAGCACCGGCUAACUACGUGCCAGCAGCCGCGGUAAUACGUAGGGUGCGAGCGUUAAUCGGAAUUACUGGGCGUAAAGCGUGCGCAGGCGGUUUUGUAAGACAGGCGUGAAAUCCCCGGGCUUAACCUGGGAACUGCGUUUGUGACUGCAAGGCUAGAGUACGGCGGAGGGGGGUGGAAUUCCACGUGUAGCAGUGAAAUGCGUAGAGAUGUGGAGGAACACCAAUGGCGAAGGCAGCCCCCUGGGUCGAUACUGACGCUCAUGCACGAAAGCGUGGGUAGCAAACAGGAUUAGAUACCCUGGUAGUCCACGCCCUAAACUAUGUCAACUAGGUGUUGGGUGGGUAAAACCAUUUAGUACCGUAGCUAACGCGUGAAGUUGACCGCCUGGGGAGUACGGCCGCAAGGUUAAAACUCAAAGGAAUUGACGGGGACCCGCACAAGCGGUGGAUGAUGUGGAUUAAUUCGAUGCAACGCGAAAAACCUUACCUACCCUUGACAUGCCAGGAACUUGCCAGAGAUGGCUUGGUGCCCGAAAGGGAGCCUGGACACAGGUGCUGCAUGGCUGUCGUCAGCUCGUGUCGUGAGAUGUUGGGUUAAGUCCCGCAACGAGCGCAACCCUUGUCGUUAAUUGCCAUCAUUUAGUUGGGCACUUUAACGAGACUGCCGGUGACAAACCGGAGGAAGGUGGGGAUGACGUCAAGUCCUCAUGGCCCUUAUGGGUAGGGCUUCACACGUCAUACAAUGGUCGGUACAAAGGGUUGCCAAGCCGCGAGGCGGAGCCAAUCCCAGAAAGCCGAUCGUAGUCCGGAUUGCAGGCUGCAACUCGCCUGCAUGAAGUCGGAAUCGCUAGUAAUCGUGGAUCAGCAUGUCACGGUGAAUACGUUCCCGGGUCUUGUACACACCGCCCGUCACACCAUGGGAGCGGGUUCCGCCAGAAGUAGGUAGCCUAACCGCAAGGGGGGCGCUUACCACGGCGGGGUUCGUGACUGGGGUGAAGUCGAAACAAGGUAGCCGUAGGGGAACCUGCGGCUG
rnacentral:rRNA from 1 species